rnacentral:rRNA from 1 species
AUUGAACGCUGGCGGCAGGCCUAACACAUGCAAGUCGAACGAGUGGCGGACGGGUGAGUAAUGUCUGGGAAACUGCCUGCUGGAGGGGGAUAACUACUGGAAACGGUAGCUCAUACCGCAUACCAUCAGAUGUGCCCAGAUGGGAUUAGCUGGUAGGUGGGGUAACGGCUCACCUAGGCGACGAUCCCUAGCUGGUAGGUGAGGAUGACCAGCCACACUGGAACUGAGACACGGUCCAGACUCCUACGGGAGGCAGCAGUGGGGAAUAUUGCACAAUGGGCGCAAGCCUGAUGCAGCCAUGCCGCGUGUGUGAAGAAGGCCUUCGGGUUGUAAAGCACUUUCAGCGGGGAGGCGUUACCCGCAGAAGAAGCACCGGCUAACUCCGUGCCAGCAGCCGCGGUAAUAC